UGUAUAGGAUUGCCAGAUUGGUUAUCCAGAAUUGCUAACUCUCACGCUUGACUGUAAUUAUUUCAGUCAAGUGCAAAGAACGAGAAACUGAUACGGAAAGAUUCAGAACUCCAGAUAUGAAUCCAUGGCUGAGGGCCGAACUAUGCUGGCUGACGUUGCAGGGCGAAAACGAAGAGCUUGUGGAUCGAGACCCAGUUCCCUACUCCCUGAGCUACCAGUUGUGCUGAACAGCAAGCAAUUCCAGCUUAGACACUUGCACAGCAGCCCUGAACUCUCUCUGAUCUGGGGAGUUGGGUGGCACCUGAAGGCCAAUCCUCUGACAUCUGAUAUAAGCUUCCAGAUCUACAGGUUUCCUGCACUCUAGGUAACUUUGGGAAAGUGUUUGUUCUUUCAUGCCAAGUCAAUGGUCUAUAACCUGGCAUGCAUCCUCAUUUUGUAAAUAGUUAAUAAAGUUUAUAUUUUAUAGACAUCCUGGAUGUCCAUAGUUGUA